GACGUAGGGCGCGAGCGUUGUCCGGAUUUAUUGGGCGUAAAGAGCUCGUAGGCGGCUUGUCGCGUCGACUGUGAAAACCCGCGGCUCAACUGCGGGCCUGCAGCCGAUACGGGGCAGGCUAGAGUUCGGUAGGGGGAGACUGGGAAUUCCUGGAUGUAGCGGUGAAAUGCGCAGAUAUCAGGAGGAACACCGGUGGCGAAGGCGGCAUCCUGGACCGACACUGACACUGGAGGAGCGAAAGCCAGGG
rnacentral:rRNA from 1 species